GAUGAAGAACGUAGCGAAAUGCGAUAAGUAAUGUGAAUUGCAGAAUUCAGUGAAUCAUCGAAUCUUUGAACGCACAUUGCGCCCGCCAGCAUUCUGGCGGGCAUGCCUGUUCGAGCGUCAUUUCAACCCUCGAGCCCCCCCGGGGGCCUCGGUGUUGGUGGACGGCACACCAGCCGCCCCCGAAAUGCAGUGGCGACCCCGCCGCAGCCUCCCCUGCGUAGUAGCACACACCUCGCACCGGAGCGCGGAGGCGGUCACGCCGUAAAACGCCCAACUUUCUUAGAGUUGACCUCGGAUCAGGUAGGAAUACCCGCUGAACUUAAGCAUAUCAAUAAGCGGAGGA
rnacentral:misc_RNA from 1 species